rnacentral:tRNA from 1 species
GGAGAGGUGGCAGAGUGGCUUAAUGCGCGGGUUUGCUAAACCCGUGAGCCUCCGGGCUCCGCAGGUUCAAAUCCUGUCCUCUCCG